rnacentral:tRNA from 1 species
CCCUUCGUGGUGUAACGGUAGAACACUUGGCGCGUAUUCCAGUGGUCCAGGUUCGAGUCCUGGCAAGGGCA